rnacentral:rRNA from 1 species
AGCGAACGCUGGCGGCAGGCUUAACACAUGCAAGUCGAGCGGGCGUAGCAAUACGUCAGCGGCAGACGGGUGAGUAACGCGUGGGAACGUACCUUUUGGUUCGGAACAACACAGGGAAACUUGUGCUAAUACCGGAUAAGCCCUUACGGGGAAAGAUUUAUCGCCGAAAGAUCGGCCCGCGUCUGAUUAGCUAGUUGGUAGGGUAAUGGCCUACCAAGGCGACGAUCAGUAGCUGGUCUGAGAGGAUGAUCAGCCACAUUGGGACUGAGACACGGCCCAAACUCCUACGGGAGGCAGCAGUGGGGAAUAUUGGACAAUGGGGGCAACCCUGAUCCAGCCAUGCCGCGUGAGUGAUGAAGGCCCUAGGGUUGUAAAGCUCUUUUGUGCGGGAAGAUAAUGACGGUACCGCAAGAAUAAGCCCCGGCUAACUUCGUGCCAGCCGCCGCCGUAA